rnacentral:rRNA from 1 species
ACUCAAAGGAAUUGACGGGGACCCGCACAAGCGGUGGAGCAUGUGGAUUAAUUCGAUACUAACCGAAGAACCUUACCCAGGUUUGACAUCGAUCGAAAAGUCUAGAGAUAGGCUCCUCUCCCACAAGGAGACGUGAAGACAGAUGUUGCAUGGCUGUCGUCAGCUCGUGCCGUGAGGUGUACGGUUAAGUCCGCCAACGAGCGCAACCCUCGUCUUGUGUUACCAGCGAGUAAUGUCGGGGACUCACAAGAGACCGCCGGUGUAAGCCGGAGGAAGGUGAGGAUGACGUCAAGUCAGCAUGGCUCUUACGCCUGGGGCUUCACACAUGCUACAAUGGGCGAAACAAACGGCAGCAAUACCGCGAGGUGGAGCAAAUCCGAAAAAUACGCCCCCAGUUCAGAUUGCAGUCUGCAACUCGACUGCAUGAAGGCGGAAUCGCUAGUAAACGCAGGUCAGCUAUACUGCGUUGAAUACGUUCCCGGGUCUUGCACACACCGCCCGU